CUUGGUCAUUUAGAGGAAGUAAAAGUCGUAACAAGGUCUCCGUAGGUGAACCUGCGGAGGGAUCAUUACAAGUGACCCCGGUUUACCACCGGGAUGUUCAUAACCCUUUGUUGUCCGACUCUGUUGCCUCCGGGGCGACCCUGCCUUCGGGCGGGGGCUCCGGGUGGACACUUCAAACUCUUGCGUAACUUUGCAGUCUGAGUAAACUUAAUUAAUAAAUUAAAACUUUUAACAACGGAUCUCUUGGUUCUGGCAUCGAUGAAGAACGCAGCGAAAUGCGAUAAGUAAUGUGAAUUGCAGAAUUCAGUGAAUCAUCGAAUCUUUGAACGCACAUUGCGCCCCCUGGUAUUCCGGGGGGCAUGCCUGUUCGAGCGUCAUUUCACCACUCAAGCCUCGCUUGGUAUUGGGCAACGCGGUCCGCCGCGUGCCUCAAAUCGACCGGCUGGGUCUUCUGUCCCCUAAGCGUUGUGGAAACUAUUCGCUAAAGGGUGCUCGGGAGGCUACGCCGUAAAACAACCCCAUUUCUAAGGUUGACCUCGGAUCAGGUAGGGAUACCCGCUGAACUUAAGCAUAUCAAUAAGCGGAGGA
rnacentral:rRNA from 1 species